rnacentral:rRNA from 1 species
GGCGGUUUGUCGCGUCUGCUGUGAAAUCCGGAAGACUCAACCUCCGGCCUGCAGUGGGUACGGGCAGACUAGAGUGCGGUAGGGGAGAUGGGAAUUCCUGGUGUAGCGGUGGAAUGCGCAGAUAUCAGGAGGAACACCGAUGGCGAAGGCAGAUCUCUGGGCCGUAACUGACGCUGAGGAGCGAAAAGGGUGGGGAGCAAACAGGCUUAGAUACCCUGGUAGUCCACCCCGUAAACGUUGGGAACUAGUUGUGGGGUCCAUUCCACGGAUUCCGUGACGCAGCUAACGCAUUAAGUUCCCCGCCUGGGGAGUACGGCCGCAAGGCUAAAACUCAAAGGAAUUGACGGGGACCCGCACAAGCGGCGGAGCAUGCGGAUUAAUUCGAUGCAACGCGAAGAACCUUACCAAGGCUUGACAUAUACGAGAACGGGCCAGAAAUGGUCAACUCUUUGGACACUCGUAAACAGGUGGUGCAUGGUUGUUGUCAGCUCGUGUUGUGAGAUGUUGGGUUAAGUCCCGCACCGAGCGCAACCCUUGUUCUUUGUUGCCAGCACGUAAUGGUGGGAACUCUUGGGAUACUGCCGGUGUCAACUCGGAGGAAGGUGGGGAUGACGUCAAAUCAUCAUGCCCCUUAUGUCUUGGGCUUCACGCAUGCUACAAUGGCCGGUACAAAGGGCUGCAAUACCGCGAGGUGGAGCGAAUCCCAAAAAGCCGGUCCCAGUUCGGAUUGAGGUCUGCAACUCGACCUCAUGAAGUCGGAGUCGCUAGUAAUCGCAGAUCAGCAACGCUGCGGUGAAUACGUUCCCGGGUCUUGUACACACCGCCCGUCAAGUCAUGAAAGUCGGUAACACCUAAGCCGGUGGCCUA